rnacentral:rRNA from 1 species
UCCAGACUCCUACGGGAGGCAGCAGUGAGGAAUAUUGGUCAAUGGACGAAAGUCUGAACCAGCCAUGCCGCGUGCAGGAAGACGGCUCUAUGAGUUGUAAACUGCUUUUGUACAAGGGUAAACCUGAAUACGUGUAUUCAGCUGAAAGUACUGUACGAAUAAGGAUCGGCUAACUCCGUGCCAGCAGCCGCGGUAAUACGGAGGAUCCAAGCGUUAUCCGGAUUUAUUGGGUUUAAAGGGUGCGUAGGCGGAUUGAUAAGUUAGAGGUGAAAUGUCCGGGCUCAACUCGGGAACUGCCUCUAAUACUGUUGAUCUAGAGAGUAGGUGCGGUAGGCGGAAUGUAUGGUGUAGCGGUGAAAUGCUUAGAGAUCAUACAGAACACCGAUUGCGAAGGCAGCUUACCGGCGCUCAACUGACGCUCAUGCACGAAAGCGUGGGUAUCGAACAGGAUUAGAUACCCCGGUAAUC